rnacentral:rRNA from 1 species
AUUGAACGCUGGCGGCAGGCCUAACACAUGCAAGUCGAGCGAGCGGCGGACGGGUGAGUAAUGUAUGGGGACUGCCCGAUAGAGGGGGAUAACUACUGGAAACGGUUGCUAAUACCGCAUACUAUCGGAUAACCCAUAUGGGAUUAGCUAGUAGGUGGGGUAACGGCUCACCUAGGCGACGAUCCCUAGCUGGUCUGAGAGGAUGAACAGCCACACUGGGACGGAGACACGGCCCAGACUCCUACGGAGGCAGCAGUGGGGAAUUUUGCACAAUGGGGGCAAGCCUGAUGCAGCCAUGCCGCGUGUAUGAAGAAGGCCUUCGGGUUGUAAAGUACUUUCAGUCGGGAGGCGUUACCGACAGAAGAAGCACCGGCUAACUCCGUGCCAGCCGCCGCGGUAAUAC